GAUGAACGCUGGCGGCGUGCCUAAUACAUGCAAGUCGAGCGAACAGACGAGGAGCUUGCUCCUCUGACGUUAGCGGCGGACGGGUGCGUAACACGUGGAUAACCUACCUAUAAGACUGGGAUAACUUCGGGAAACCGGAGCUAAUACCGGAUAAUAUAUUGAACCGCAUGGUUCAAUAGUGAAAGACGGUUUUGCUGUCACUUAUAGAUGGAUCCGCGCCGCAUUAGCUAGUUGGUAAGGUAACGGCUUACCAAGGCGACGAUGCGUAGCCGACCUGAGAGGGUGAUCGGCCACACUGGAACUGAGACACGGUCCAGACUCCUACGGGAGGCAGCAGUAGGGAAUCUUCCGCAAUGGGCGAAAGCCUGACGGAGCAACGCCGCGUGAGUGAUGAAGGUCUUCGGAUCGUAAAACUCUGUUAUUAGGGAAGAACAAAUGUGUAAGUAACUAUGCACGUCUUGACGGUACCUAAUCAGAAAGCCACGGCUAACUACGUG
rnacentral:rRNA from 1 species